UCAGGUGACUUUGACAAGAGGGGUCCUUCAGUCCGUGGGAACUGCCUGCAAAGGUGUGGAGAUGUGAACAGCAUGGACGUGUUGCCUCUUUUGGAUGUAAACUUGUGUGUCUCACAGUAAUGCAGAGCAAGGGAGCUUUCCCGUGGGAUUACAGCCCGUGGAGAACCGGAGCCCCCAUUCAUUCACACUGCCAUACUCGGACCUCCGCGCGCUCCUGGCCCAGAGCAAGUGCUUUACACAUACUUGUUGGGUUAUGAAAUCUGCUCCUGGGUCCUCAGAAUGCCCAGCGUCACUAUGCGCACAUCGAAAGUGCCAGUAAACAUCUAGGGAUUGAUUUCAUGCCUGAAGACUCCUUUGCCACAGAAGACGGAUUCUUUCUGCAGGAAAGUUGGCUGAACAGGGACUCAGGGAAUGGGUCAUGGGUGCAAGUCAGGGUGCGAGAGCAUCACCCCAUGGACGGUGGACAGCAGUAACCUAGUGCCGACCAGCCCUGCGUCUGUGACACUGCUCCCCACCUCUGGAUCCUCUUCUGGGCAGAGACAUCCUUAAAGGAAGACUGAUAUGAAUGGAUGGUUUGACUUGUAGGCUUUUGUGAUUUAAACCUGGAAAUAGAGGGGCGCCUGGGUGGCAAGGUCGGUGAAGCGUCCUACUCUUGAUCUCAGUGCAGGUCUUGAUCUCAGGGUUAUGAGUUCAAUCCCCGUGUUGGGCUCCACACAGGUUAGGGAGGCUACUUAAACCAAACCAACCAACCUGGAAAUAUAAUGUCCCAACUAUGGGGACAGAUAAAUGAUCUAGAAAAUGCAUAAGAGGGUUUUUUUUUCCCUAUUCUCCACCCCCUUUAAAAAAUAGUUUGUUAAAUAAUUUCAUGUAGCAUAUAUGAAGUAAACAAAAUACUUAACCUACCAUCUCUGGUGACCCCAUGUAAACUGCCCUGCUGGCCCUGAGGAGCCAGGGUCCGUCACCCUCAAUGGCAUCCCAUACCCCCUGGAUCCCUAAUCAAGGGAUUGAACCUAUUCCCCCUGAAGCCUUUGUUGCUGAAGUGUCUUACAGGAAUCUGUUUCCUUCUGGGAGUGAUUGUGCGCUGUGUGUGACGUGAGACGUUCUGAGGCCGAGCCACCAGCCCUUAAGGGAUCCCAACUGCUCUGUCCACAUGCUAGAAACGGACUUUUCCAUAGAUCAUUGGGAGAUGGGACUCUCUGGAAGGCUCCAUCUUUGCUUGCAGGUGUGUCUGGGUAGCAUAAUCAACUUAAAUAUUUACAGAAUAGUUAAUUUUCAUCACUAAAUGGCCGGAGGUUGAGGAGUCUGUCUGAGGUCAGCCGCCACCCUAUACGGACUCCAUUUUGUUACCCUAUAGGUUAUGUUUGAGCAGGUCCCUGGGUGGCUUUCUGCCCAGGAGAAGGAGUGUAUGUCUUGCCACGUGUGGCUAGACUGGUGUGUGUUGGGGGUCUGGAAGUGAGACCCCUGGGUCCCUUGGAGACGUGUUUGCACGGCCACUGCCUUUCUCUUUGCACCUGCUGACCUUACCCUCGCAGUGGCCGACCUCCUCACUCUAGCAGGUGAGCAAAAAAGGGGCAGGGGUGCAGGACACAAAAGUGAGAUGCUUAAAAUUUAUUAAAGGGAGCCAGGCUGGGGACAGAGUGAAGGAAAUGUCCGGGGAGCUGCAGGAGCUCCAGCAGUUGGAGAUCUUCUGCUUCUAAUUCCUAAGCACACGCUGGGCUUUUUAAGACUUUGCCC